rnacentral:rRNA from 1 species
UACGGGGGGGGCAAGCGUUGUUCGGAAUUACUGGGCGUAAAGGGCUCGUAGGCGGCCAACUAAGUCAUACGUGAAAUCCCUCGGCUUAACCGGGGAACUGCGUCUGAUACUGGAUGGCUUGAGUUCGGGAGAGGGAUGCGGAAUUCCAGGUGUAGCGGUGAAGUGCGCAGAUAUCGGGAGGAACACCAGUAGCGAAGGCGGCACUCUGGGCCGGUACUGACGCUGAGGAGCGAAAGCGUGGGGAGCGAACAGG